UACGUAGGGUGCGAGCGUUAAUCGGAAUUACUGGGCGUAAAGCGUGCGCAGGCGGUGAUGUAAGACCGAUGUGAAAUCCCCGGGCCUAACCUGGGAACUGCAUUGGUGACUGCAUCGCUCGAGUAUGGCAGAGGGGGGUAGAAUUCCACGUGUAGCAGUGAAAUGCGUAGAGAUGUGGAGGAAUACCGAUGGCGAAGGCAGCCCCCUGGGUCAAUACUGACGCUCAUGCACGAAAGCGUGGGGAGCAAACAGG
rnacentral:rRNA from 1 species